GGGACAGACCCAGAAGCAGGCACUGGCCGUUGGCAAUGGUAUGGCAUACGAGGAAGCUAGAGGGGUGGGUUAGGAAGACCUGGAGCCCUUCUGUGGACAGUAAGCUGGCUUUGGUGUCACCUUCUAGGCAUGUGACUCUCUAGGCCUCAGUCUCUCAGCCUGUACAGUGCUCAGCCUGCUGACGACACUCAGAGAGUGGGUGUCAGAGGUAGACAGAACCAAAGACCCUGCCUUUGAACUCAUCGGGAUUGCUUGCUGGGACAAACGAAUUCCAUGAUGCAUUACUGGGCAAGCGCCAUGAAAUGUUUAACCCUUAAAAGUCUCCACACACAGGCUCUCCUUGAUUUGUUUCCACACGCUGGUUCUCCUUCCAUGGAUCCAAAGCCCAGGCUUCACCUGUGGAUGCUUCUGCUGUCUGACAGAUGUGGGUAUCCCUCAGCUGUGCCAUCCAUCUUUUAACCGGAAGAGGCAAGAGCUGGAGAAGGCAUGACAGGGCCAUUUUCUCACUGACCUCACUCCACAUAAGCCACUUCAGGUUCAGUGACUAAGAAAGCAGAGACCAGAACGGCUCAUCUGGUUUGCUUAGUGGUCCCUCAGAGAUUCUACUCCAGUCAUUGUGAGCACAAGUCAGACAUUAUCCAGCCCUCAACCCUUGAACUGCCUGCCUGUUGGAAUGAUAUCUGGCCUGGAUAUUCCCUGGGGAAUCAAGACUGAGCUUCAUGCUGUACUGGGUGCCCAGGUUGCAGAGAUGGGGAGGAAUCCCAGGUAACCCUGGUGGACACCAUGGUGGAUCUCCAUGGCAAACUCUUCACAGCCAUCCAGGAUGCCCCGCAGCGCCAGGAGCUCUUCUCUCAGAUGGAGCAGGCCAUCCUCCAGAGCCUGGAGUCUCUAGCAAAGAGCCUCAGAACCAUUGUGCCGUAGGUGAUAUUUAAAGCCUAAACCACUUGCCCUGGAUCAGAGAGAAUUGGAGACCCCUUUUUACAGGAGAGUCUAGGUGAGGCUGUCUUCUUAGAUCCUUGCAGGUGUCAGUCCAAGACCAAUCUCUGACUGUCUAUGUGGCUCAUAUGUACCCUCUCUGAGCCUCAGUCUCAGUUUGCUUAUGUGUCAAAUGGGGACGCACAGUAGGACGAAGGAUCUUGCGAGAUGCCAAACAGCAACCUCCUCCAAAGCGUUUUAAAAAAAAAAAAUACUGCUUCCCCACUUUCUCCUUUCUGGCUAUCUUAUAGGGAGGAGAAUUGUUGCAGGAGGUGGCAGGUGACAGAAACUGCCCAGUUACACUGCCACC
rnacentral:lncRNA from 1 species